rnacentral:rRNA from 1 species
UACGUAGGCAGCGAGCGUUGUUCGGAGUUACUGGGCGUAAAGCGCACGUAGGCGGAUCGUUAAGUCGGGGGUGAAAUCCUGGAGCUCAACUCCAGAACUGCCUUCGAUACUGGCGAUCUUGAGUCCGGAAGAGGUGAGUGGAACUCCUAGUGUAGAGGUGGAAUUCGUAGAUAUUAGGAAGAACACCAGUGGCGAAGGCGGCUCACUGGUCCGGUACUGACGCUGAGGUGCGAAAGCGUGGGGAGCAACAGGG